AGAGUUUGAUCAUGGCUCAGAACGAACGCUGGCGGCAGGCUUAAUACAUGCAAGUCGAGCGGGCACUUCGGUGUCAGCGGCGCACGGGUGCGUAACGCGUGGGAACAUGCCUUUAGGUACGGAACAACCAAGGGAAACUUUGGCUAAUACCGUAUAAUAUCUCCGGAUCAAAGAUUUAUCGCCUAAAGAUUGGCCCGCGUUAGAUUAGGUAGUUGGUGGGGUAAUGGCCUACCAAGCCGACGAUCUAUAGCUGGUCUGAGAGGAUGAUCAGCCACACUGGAACUGAGACACGGUCCAGACUCCUACGGGAGGCAGCAGUAAGGAAUAUUGGACAAUGGGCGAAAGCCUGAUCCAGCCAUGCCGCGUGAGUGAUGAAGGCCUUAGGGUUGUAAAGCUCUUUUAGAUGGGAAGAUAAUGACUGUACCAUCAGAAUAAGCCCCGGCUAAAUUCGUGCCAGCCGCCGCGGUAAUAC
rnacentral:rRNA from 1 species